rnacentral:rRNA from 1 species
UCCUACGGGGAGGCAGCAGUGGGGAAUAUUGCACAAUGGGCGCAAGCCUGAUGCAGCCAUGCCGCGUGUGUGAAGAAGGCCUUCGGGUUGUAAAGCACUUUCAGUCGUGAGGAAGGUGGUAGUGUUAAUAGCACUAUCAUUUGACGUUAGCGACAGAAGAAGCACCGGCUAACUCCGUGCCAGCAGCCGCGGUAAUACGGAGGGUGCGAGCGUUAAUCGGAAUUACUGGGCGUAAAGCGCAUGCAGGUGGUUUGUUAAGUCAGAUGUGAAAGCCCGGGGCUCAACCUCGGAACUGCAUUUGAAACUGGCAGACUAGAGUACUGUAGAGGGGGGUAGAAUUUCAGGUGUAGCGGUGAAAUGCGUAGAGAUCUGAAGGAAUACCGGUGGCGAAGGCGGCCCCCUGGACAGAUACUGACACUCAGAUGCGAAAGCGUGGGGAGCAAACAGGAUUAGAUACCCUGGUAGUCCACGCUGUAAACGAUGUCUACUUGGAGGUUGUGGCCUUGAGCCGUGGCUUUCGGAGCUAACGCGUUAAGUAGACCGCCU